rnacentral:rRNA from 1 species
CUACGGGGUGCAGCAGUGAGGAAUAUUGCACAAUGGGGGGAACCCUGAUGCAGCCACGCCGCGUGGAGGAUGACGCAUUUCGGUGUGUAAACUCCUUUUAUCUGUCAAGAAAAUGACGGUAGCAUAUGAAUAAGCACCGGCUAACUCCGUGCCAGCAGCCGCGGUAAUACGGAGGGUGCAAGCGUUACUCGGAAUCACUGGGCGUAAAGGACGCGUAGGCGGGUUGGAAAGUCAGGUGUGAAAUCCUACAGCUUAACUGUAGAACUGCACUUGAAACUUCUAAUCUAGAGUAUGGGAGGGGGGGGUAGAAUUAGUGGUGUAGGGGUAAAAUGCGUAGAUAUCUCGAGGAAUACCGGAGGCGAAGGCGGUCUCCUGGAACAUUACUGACGCUAAGGCGUGAAAGCGUGGGGAGCAAACAGGAUUAGAUACCCUCGUAGUC